UCUGACUAUCACUAAGUUUGUUCCAAAGUAUGGUUUAAACAGAUCCAUUUAAGCUGAAGAAUGCCAAAUCAUCUCAGGUUUGCUUGACCAUUCUUACACUGUCAAUGCUUGGUUUGAUGUUUUUCUUUAUUCAGUGCUAUCUAUUAUCGGGAUACUAACUGCAAUGGUCGAUGCAUAUGCAAAAGGAAAGCUACAAAUUUUGGACCAAUUAUCAAAGCAAUGGUUGCAAGAAGAAUUUUUUAGAACUGGUCACCCUUGAGAAGGUUGCAAGAUGCAGAUGCAAAAGGAAAGGUGCAAAUCUUGCAUUGGUCCCAAGCACAAAUAGAGUUUUCUUCCCUUCAAAAUUCUCUCUUUAAUAAUCUACCUUUUCUGAUAUAUGCUAUAUUCCUACUCUCUCUUGAAAUAACAGAAAAUGCUUAAUAACAAUAUACAUACAAAUCUAAUAGAAAUAAGUAGUGUCUCUGCAAAUGUAACACCCUAGGAUACGGUAAAAGAUUAUACGUACAUGUUCUGCUGCUCAAUUUAUGUAGUGAAGUCACGUUGAAGAAUUGUUAUAUGCAAGUGGGAGGUGUCAGGUUUUACCAGAGGUCACAAUUAUGAUUUACUACUUUUUUCUUUCCAGCAAUGAAGGUGACUUUUCCCUAUUAGUUCUUAGAAAGCAUGAGCGCAUCCAGUAGAGACGAGAUUGACAUCCUGCUCUGGGCGAGUACCACUGCGGCACACCACGCUCCUGCAAACAGGUUUGGCAGCAGUAGCAGCCGGCACCGGCGAGGACAUGAAGCCAUUGGAUUAUAAAACUGCAUGCAUUCUAGGAGGCUGGCUUGAUUAUCCAUUGUUUUCUUUCGCACACAACUGCAUACAUGUUGCUCAUCCUUGGUUAUAUCCCAUCUUGCUAGCUAAUGUAUUAAAUGAAGUAUUUGUUUUGCUAUUGUAUCUGCAGUACUCCAUAUAUUAUGUUCUUUUGAUCUCAAAUAUAGAAUCUAUAUACUUGAGAUAAUUAGCGUGGGUACCAGUGCAGGUACGCAACAUGUAAGAAAGGAGUGGAGAUGAGAGAAAAAGAGAAGAGAACGGGAAUUGAAAUUUUUUGCCAAUUCAACCACAUAUUUGCUUUCACAAGAACUGGUUGAUGCUCUCAGGGACAAUUUUUGUUUCAGCAUAUAUACUUCAGUCCGUAUGUGCGUUAUUUACUCCUUGGUGUCUUGACAUGGCGUGGGAUGGUAGCGAACAGUUUCAAGGUGCAGAUCUUCUUCUUCUGUUAUUGAUGCCACCUGGUGAGAUUUGUCCAACUCCACUUUGUGGCAUAGGUUUGGUCUAUAUAUACGAUGUAUUCAUGGCUUGAUUUGUAAGGUGGAUAUAGGAUUCCUGUUAUUUUACAACUAAUAGUGGCAAAACUAUUUAGGAAGGUGUAUAGGAUCCUUGCUGCUUUAUUCAGGUGGAGGAAGACAUUGAAGCAAAACAGAAAAAAAAAAUGUAUAGUUCUACCUGAUAUUAUGGUGCACUCCCAUGCAGCAGAAUAUAUAUCUUUAACUGAUGUUAUGACCCAGUUUGUUUCAUGCCGUGGUCUGUUACCUUUCUUACUCCAGAUCCGUUUGAUUCUGGUAUGCCUCGUAAUUUACAAUUGUUUUCCUUUUCUCCUCCAGCAUGAGGCUCAGCUUGUUGAUAAUGGGACUACAUUGUCAGGGUUCUGCAAGUCUAGCAGAUAUGGGUCAACUGAUGAUGAUUAUGCGAAUUUAGAUGGCACCACACCUGAACACUGAACAACCAUAUUAUCGGCCACCUGUUCUCCAUCACCGGUACUCCGAUAACAAGGUUCCAGUAAUCGCUAUAUUGCGUAUAAAGCGUGAGCGAGAGCUAGAAACGAGGCCUCAGAAUAAUCGUUGGGCAUUUAAAAGGGUAGCCUACAUUUUUUUUUGUAAGUAUUCUUUAACAUAAGGCUCAUCAUUGAUUUGGUGGCAUCUUAUUUUCUUUGGUGGUGGAGGUAUUGUUUUGGUUGUACUCCCAUUUUUUUUUUAUUAUCACAUUGUAGGUUUUAGCAGCUCUUGUAUAUUAUCAUUACCAGAAUACCACAUUCUUUAUUUUUAGUUAAAUUUGAUUUACUUUUCUGAAAUGGUACAUCGCAAGCACUGUGCACUCGUGAUUACUAAAUCACCACAACGGUGUCGUCCAUGGAUCAAAUUAUUUCGUGGAUUGGAUUUCACUUGCCUGUCUACGGUUCCCUUGCGUGUGCUCGGGAUAGGUGUUUUGUAUAACUGUUUCGCCGUAUUAUUAAGUAUUCCCCUUUAGUUUUUUUCUCUAUCUAGAAGUCUGAUGAGUACAGAUGCCUUUGCCAGACUGCCGACAAGUGAAAGAAACAUCGCUUUCCUAUGUUCAGCAGAUAAUUUGGCACAGUUCCAUCAUGAAUAAAGUGAUACACCAGUGAGUUUUCUGUCACCAGGGACCCAGGGAAAUGUGCAAAGCCCUCCCUCCCUACCCCGGCACCCUACCCAUAACAGAUGGUACUGAUCCUAAUGGUGGUGCCACCAGAUUGCUUCCGUUGCGAGGUGUAGGCCUGCAGUAUUUGAACAAGUUAACUUUGUAAGUGCUAAGCAAUUGGCUGGUUUAGCAUUGGAAGAAAUAGGUUUGACCUGCAACACGUAGCUAAAUUUACUUAACUUUCCAGGCUUUCUAUGUAAACCACUUAGACAAUAGAAUUCAGCAUUUUGUAAAUGAAAAUUUGAACCAAGAUUUAGAUCAUUGCACGCUAUUAGACAUCACUUAUGUGGUGAAUCAUCUAUUUUUUGAUGUUCUGAAGAGUAGUUUAAGUGCAAGUCAUAUAGCCUGUAACAGGGAGCUUCAGGAGGUGCUAUUCUUAACUUUCAUGCUCUCUUUUUUCGUUCAUUUCAUGCAUGUGGACUUGCUAGAAUAUAGAACUGACGCCCCCUUCCUAUUUCAGCCUGAUGGGUUCCCCACGAUGCUCUUCUACCCAGCUCGGAAGAAAAUCUUUGGGCGUGUUUAUUCUUAAAUACAGUAUUUCACAUCCUAUUUAGGGGUGCGUCUGGUAAUAUGUUUUUUCUUUCAGUUGGUAGCAAUAACAUCGCCCGCACAUGGCUUCUCAGCAGUGCUACCAUCUAAAUUUGCAUCUACCGAAUUGUCUCUGGACUCCUGAAACUAGCAUAAAACAUGCAUGCUCAAGUUUAGUGCAUAUUUCAAAGCUGCCAAUCAGUAUGGUGUUUUUCAAGGAUACAUAUAUUCCAUCUCUAGAUCUCCGCAAGCUUGCAUAUGUGCCGUAUAUCGAUGUUUAAGGUUAGCUGAAAAUGAUAAAUCUGCUUUUAGUAUUGCAUUCUGUCUAAUGAUUCAGUUUGUUUGGCUGAAAUUUGCAGAUAACUUUUGAGGGGGAUCGGCUGGUGGUGGAGAUAUCAAGUUCAUCAAGAGCCAUGCUGGCAUCCUUCGGAGGUUAAAGUGCAAUGUUGCAAGAAAUAUCAGCUGACAUGAUCAAGGCCCUCUGUUACUAUGUGAUGGCUCCAAAAAACUCCUGCUAUCAUACCUUCGUGUUUUAUUUCUAAUAUUGUUUACUCAUGCUGCUCAUGUGAUACUAAUAUUAUUGCCACUGGUCUCUCAUUGUUGUAUAUCUUUUAAGAAAAGCUUUUGGUAGCCAAGAUGCUGAUAUACGUGAGAUACAUAUUGCAUCCAUUUCCACAUUAGUAGUCAGACUUCAGUAAAAUGUCCAUUAUCUACUUUCUUCCAAUUUAAGCUAUAAUAUUUAAGAAUAACUUUACAAAUUUUUUUUAGAUUACAAACCAUUGAUGCUGGGGAACAAAGCGUGCAUAAUAAAUGAAUUCACGCGGUGGAAGGAAAACACAAGAUAUGUUGUCAGGAUAUGCCAUGAAGACACUCCUGAGGUGGCCACCGCAUCCUAGCAGCAACAGCCUAGGAUGGAGAUCCAUUUAGGUGGCCCUCGCCACUAUCGGCCUGCGAGGAAGAUCUGUGAAGAUCUGUGUAGACCACCUGUCCAAGCCACGGCAACCUAUCAUGGAGCCACCCGUAGGUGGGCACGACAUCUCUACAAACGCGACUGGCAUAUGUUGGUGAAUACAAAAUUUAGAAGCAAAGCAACUGAAUGAUUAGUACUGUUGAUGACUGUAAAUUUCUGAAAGGAAAUGAUUAGUUUUAGCAUUUGUUUUGGUCAAUGCCACUGCUACCGCUGAUGUUAUCUUUGUAAUCAGAGGUGUUCCGUCCGUGAUCUUACUACAGUUUGGGCUAGGCUUCUGAUAUACGACUGACAAUUUUUACA